rnacentral:lncRNA from 1 species
AAAAGGAAAGGAAAAUGGAAGAAAAAUGGAAAAACCAGCAGCAAGGUAUUGAACCCAGAACAUGGGGGCAGAAGACGUGAAGCUUAAACCACUCCCCAUGGUCCCAUUACUAAUAAACAACUAUAUCCAUAAAUAUAGAAUAUAAAAUGCUUUGUAAAAAUGGAAAAUAAAGAAAAAAGACAUGAAAAUAACAAGAAGGGGGUGCGCACAUGGUAUCAAAC